rnacentral:rRNA from 1 species
UACAGAGGUCUCAAGCGUUGUUCGGAUUCAUUGGGCGUAAAGGGUGCGUAGGUGGCGAGGCAAGUCGGAUGUGAAAUCCCGGGGCUCAACCCCGGAACUGCAUUCGAUACUGCCUUGCUAGAGUACUGGAGAGGAGAUUGGAAUUUACGGUGUAGCAGUGAAAUGUGUAGAUAUCGUAAGGAAGACCAGUGGCGAAGGCGGAUCUCUGGACAGUUACUGACACUGAGGCACGAAGGCCAGGGGAGCAAACGGG